ensembl:lncRNA
UCUGAAAGGAAAAGAGGAUCUUUUUAAAGAAGAGGAUUUGAAGGAGAAAAUGCAUGUGGAAGAAAAAGAGUAUCCUUUUGAAAAGUAUCUGGAACAAAGUGAGUAUCUAUAAGGAAGAGAAUAUCUAGAGAAAGAAAUUUGUCUGGGAGACAGUAUCUGUACGAAGGAGAGCAUCGGAGAGUGAGGGCCCCCCAGAGGAUGGUAGCUCUAGUUCACCACAAUGCCGAGAAGAAAGAACAAAACCUGAGGCGCAGCCAACCACAGACUACUAACCCUAUCCAUGGUGCUGACAGGAAAAUCUUCAAUAUCAAAACUGAAAACAGAUCAAGGAAUCUCAAUACUAUCCACUAUGAAGUCUGAUUUGGAAG